ACAGGAUGUCGCUUCCAUCACUUCGGUGUCAAACCUGAGUCAAAGUCUAAAAAGAAGAGACCAUCACACACACUGCAUUUCAUCUGGAACUAUGCCAACACCUGUAGCCCCUGACAGUAACAAGGGAAAGCGGAGGAGCGGAGAAGAUUAAGAAGAUACUACUUUUUUUGUAGGGUCCCGUCAUGGAACUGAGGAGGUUAAAAGUGGCAUCCUGCGCCACUGUUAGAGCAGAAGAAGUCACCCUCUUGACCACCCCAAUCUGGAGUAAGAAGCCCCCCCUUGUGAAUCUUGCUUCAAUUUGGCAUGAAAUAAAUAGAUCUACAGUGUGCUGGAGGAAUGGAAGGGAUACAGCAACACACCUUUCCAAGCAAGCCAUUAUUAUGAUAAC